rnacentral:rRNA from 1 species
UACGUAGGGCGCAAGCGUUAUCCGGAAUUAUUGGGCGUAAAGCGCACGUAGGCGGCUUGGUAUGUCGGGUGUGAAAUCCCCGGGCUCAACCUGGGAACUGCAUCCGAAACUGCCUUGCUAGAGUAUGGGAGAGGGAAGUGGAAUUUCCGGUGUAGCGGUGAAAUGCGUAGAUAUCGGAAGGAACAUCAGUGGCGAAGGCGACUUCCUGGACCAAUACUGACGCUCAGGUGCGAAAGCGUGGGGAGCAAACAGG